rnacentral:rRNA from 1 species
GAUGAACGCUGGCGGUGUGCCUAAUACAUGCAAGUCGAGCGAACAGACGAGGAGCUUACUCCUCUGACGUUAGCGGCGGACGGGUGAGUAACACGUGGAUAACCUACCUAUAAGACUGGGAUAACUUCGGGAAACCGGAGCUAAUACCGGAUAUCAUGUUGAACCGCAUGGUUCAACAGUGAAAGACGGUCUUGCUGUCACUUAUAGAUGGAUCCGCGUCGCAUUAGCUAGUUGGUAAGGUAACGGCUUACCAAGGCAACGAUGCGUAGCCGACCUGAGAGGGUGAUCGGCCACACUGGAACUGAGACACGGUCCAGACUCCUACGGGAGGCAGCAGUAGGGAAUCUUCCGCAAUGGGCGAAAGCCUGACGGAGCAACGCCGCGUGAGUGAAGAAGGUCUUCGGAUCGUAAAACUCUGUUAUUAGGGAAGAACAAAUGUGUAAGUAACUAUGCACGUCUUGACGGUACCUAAUCAGAAAGCCACGGCUAACUACGUG